rnacentral:rRNA from 1 species
UCGUCAGUAGCGGCGAGCGAACGCGAAACAGCCCAGUUACUAAAUCUAAUUUAUUUCUAGUAGAAUGAACUGAAAAGUUCAACCAUAGAAAGUGAUAGUCUUGUAUACGAAAGAUUAAAUUAGUGGGUAACGAUGAGUAGGUCGGGACACGUGAAAUCCUGACUGAAUAUAGGGGGACCAUCCUCUAAGGCUAAAUACUACUUACUGACCGAUAGUGAACUAGUACCGUGAGGGAAAGGUGAAAAGAACCCCGGUGAGGGGAGUGAAAUAGAACCUGAAACCGUGUGCGUACAAGCAGUGGAAGCCCACUUGUUGGGUGACUGCGUACCUUUUGUAUAAUGGGUCAGCGACUUACUUUUAGUGGCGAGCUUAACCGAAUAGGGGAGGCAUAGGGAAACCGAGUCUUAACCGGCGUUUUAGUCGCUAAGAGUAGACCCGAAACCGAGCGAUCUAUCCAUGGCCAGGGUGAAGGUGAGGUAACACUUACUGGAGGCCCGAACCGGGUAAUGUUGAAAAAUUAUCGGAUGAGCUGUGGAUCGGAGUGAAAGGCUAAUCAAGCUCGGAGAUAGCUGGUUCUCCUCGAAAGCUAUUUAGGUAGCGCCUCAUGUAUAACUCUCAGGGGUAGAGCACUGUUUCGGCUAGGGGGCCAUCCCGGCUUACCAAACCGACGCAAACUCCAAAUACUGAGAAGUUCAAUCAUGGGAGACACACGGUGGGUGAUAAGGUCCAUCGUGGAGAGGGAAACAGCCCAGACCGCCAGCUAAGGUCCCUAAAUCAUAGUUAAGUGGGAAACGAUGUGGGAAGGCAUAGACAGCCAGGAGGUUGGCUUAGAAGCAGCCAUCCUUUAAAGAAAGCGUAAUAGCUCACUGGUCGAGUCGUCCUGCGCGGAAGAUUUAACGGGGCUAAACUAUGUACCGAAGCUGCGGAUACGUGUUUACACGUAUGGUAGAGGAGCGUUCUGUAAGCCGUUGAAGGUGUGUUGAGAAGCAUGCUGGAGGUAUCAGAAGUGCGAAUGCUGACAUGAGUAACGAUAAUGUGGGUGAAAAACCUACACGCCGAAAGUCCAAGGUUUCCUGCGCAACGUUAAUCGGCGCAGGGUGAGUCGGCUCCUAAGGCGAGGCUGAAAAGCGUAGUCGAUGGGAAACAGGUUAAUAUUCCUGUACUUCAUAAUAUUGCGAUGGGGUGACGGAGAAGGCUAGGUCAGCCACCCGACGGUCGUGGUGGUUUAAGCAUGUAGGAAGAGUUCUUAGGUAAAUCCGGGAGCUUAAUUCUGAGACGCGAUGACGAAGCACAUGUAUGUGUGUGAAGUGAUUGAUGCCAUGCUUCCAGGAAAAACCUCUAAGCUUCAGAUAUUAUGGAACCGUACCCCAAACCGACACAGGUGGACAGGUAGAGAAUACUAAGGCGCUUGAGAGAACUUGGGUGAAGGAACUAGGCAAAAUAACACCGUAACUUCGGGAGAAGGUGUACCUUUUAGGGUGAUCGUCCUUGCGACGUAAGCUUUAGAAGGUUGCAAUUACCAGGUGGCUGCGACUGUUUAUCAAAAACAUAGCACUCUGCAAACUCGUAAGAGGAAGUAUAGGGUGUGACGCCUGCCCGGUGCCGGAAGGUUAAUUGAUGGGGUUAGCUUAUGCGAAGCUCUUGAUCGCGAAGCCCCGGUAAACGGCGGCCGUAACAAUAACGGUCCUAAGGUAGCGAAAUUCCUUGUCGGGUAAGUUCCUGAAGCCCCGGUGAACGGCGGCCGUAACAAAUAAACGGUCCUUAAGGUAGGCGAAAUUCCUUGUCAGGUAAGUUCCGACCUGCACGGAAUGGUGCAACGUCUCCCCGCUGUCUCAAACGUGGACUCAGCGAAAUUGAACUGUCUGUGAAGAUGCAGACUUCCCGCGGUUAGACGGAAAGACCCCAUGCACGGCCACACUGUCUCCAUCCAAGACUCAGUGAAAUUGAAUUUGCUGUUAAGAUGCAGUAUACCCGCGGCUAGACGGAAAGACCCCGUGAACCUUUACUACAGCUUUGCACUGAACUUUGAGCCUAUUUGUGUAGGAUAGGUGGGAGACUUUGAAGCUUAAGCGCCAGCUUAAGUGGAGUCAUCCUUGAAAUACCACCCUGGUAUGUUUGAAGUUCUAACCUAGGUCCGUUAUCCGGAUCGGGGACAGUGUAUGGUGGGUAGUUUGACUGGGGCGGUCUCCUCCCAAAGAGUAACGGAGGAGCGCAAUGGUGCCCUCAGCACGGUCGGAAAUCGUGCGAUGAGUGUAAAAGCAAAAGGGCGCUUGACUGCGAGACCGAUGGGUCGAGCAGGUACGAAAGUAGGCUUUAGUGAUCCGGUGAUCCUUUAUGGAAGGGUCAUCGCUCAACAGAUAAAAGGUACUCCGGGGAUAACAGGCUGAUACUACCCAAGAGUUCAUAUCGACGGUAGUGUUUGGCACCUCGAUGUCGGCUCAUCACAUCCUGGGGCUGUAGCAGGUCCCAAGGGUAUGGCUGUUCGCCAUUUAAAGUGGUACGCGAGCUGGGUUCAGAACGUCGUGAGACAUCCUGGUCCAUAUCCUGUGUAGGCGUUUAGAGCAUUGAAAGGAUCUCCCCUUUGUACGAGAGGACCAGGUGGGGACCUAUCUGCCGUGGGCGUUGGAAAUUUGAGAGGAGCUGCUCCUAGUACGAGAGGACCGGAGUGGACGUACCUCUGGUGUUCCGGUUGUCACGCCAGUGGCAUU